rnacentral:rRNA from 1 species
CCUACGGGUGACAGCAGUGGGGAAUAUUGCACAAUGGGGGAAACCCUGAUGCAGCAACGCCGCGUGAAGGAAGACGGUUUUCGGAUUGUAACCUUCUAUCAAUGGGGAAGAAAGAAAUGACGGUACCUAAAUAAGAAGCCCCGGCUAACUACGUGCCAGCAGCCGCGGUAAUACGUAGGGGGCAAGCGUUAUCCGGCAUUACUGGGUGUAAAGGGAGAGUAGGCGGCAAGGUAAGCGAUAUGUGAAAGCCUUAAGCUUAACUUAAGGAUGGCAUAACGAACUAUCUAGCUAGAGUACAGGAGAGGAAAGCGGAAUUCCGAGUGUAGCGGUGAAAUGCGUAGAUAGUAGGAAGAACACCAGUGGCGAAGGCGGCUUUCUGGACUGAAACUGACGCUGAGGCUCGAAAGCGUGGGGAGCGAACAGGAUUAGAUACCCUAGUAGUC